rnacentral:lncRNA from 1 species
UUUAUUUCAAAUAUCCAAACAACCACGUGUACAAGGACCAAUUUGAUGGAAACGCACCAAAUUUUAGUUUUAACUUUUCACUUUCAAUUUUUUUCUAUUUUUCCAAUUUUAUCCCUCUUUACCCAUUCCUUCCAUCCUCACAUUUCACUUAGACACAUCAAACAAGUCCCUGAGUCUUCACCUUCACGGUAAAACCUUCACCAUCUUCAUCUCUCCAAAAGCAUCAUCAUCUUCAUUGAUCAACGUUGGAAAAGAUUGCGUUUUGAUGGAAGAUUUCAUCUUUUGUUAAGGUAACGCCGUUCCUCUUCUUUUUCUUUUUAUCUCUGUUCGUUUUCUCCCAUUUUUGUGACCUUAUUUUAUUUUUGUUUUCAUUUUUUAUCCAUUCAUUCUCAACUUUAAACUUCAUUUGAUGCUUGCUUUGUUGUUUGUUUAUGAGUGUUGUGUUUUUGAGACCGUUUUUUAGAUUAUUCAUUUUAGGAUUUUCCGUGUAAGACUUAAAAAUUUGAUUUUUUAUGGUUGGUUUCUAAAAUUGAUGAGCAUGAGAUCAGUAAUGAAGAAAAUCACUGGUUGAUUAAAACAAUUUUUAAAAAGGGUUUCUUUCAUAUGGUAGUGAAUUCUAAUUUACAUUUUGAUGUUGUUUUGUUUGUGAUUAUGACGAAUGUUACCAAAUCAUUUUAGAUUGUGCUCUAAAUUAUUUUAGAUUGUGUUCCAAAAUGUUUUAGCAAAACAUGAGGAUUAAGAAAACACUUUUUAAUAAUGAUUGCAUUCAAUUGAUGACACAACUUGACCUUUGGUGUAGUUGUCUAUUAUUCAAUUAUUCAAUCAAAGAUUUAUAUCUCUUGUAACAGAAGCAAAACUACGUAGUACAAUUACAUAUGAAACUUAUUUUUUCUACUCCAGAAAUGAUAUAACAAAGAUGCAAGUAUGAAAUCUCCUUGGAAAGUGAUACACUGAAUGCUAUAAACUACUGCAUUUUAUUUUUAUCACUUGACCAUUGAAUUAUUCUCUGAAAUAUUUGAAUAUCCUGCAAAAUUCAAGAGCUUGAUUUUAAUGUGUUUCCAAUAUCAAUCACAAAUCGAUAUUUCACAUCUGCUUUAAGAAGGCGCUCCAUCGCUGUGUUGACAUAAUCAAUAGGAAUGAUCUCAAUAUCAGGCUUUACAUUGUGUUCCGCCGCAAAAUCAAUCAUUUCUUGAGUCUCCUUGAUCCCUCCAAUCAAACUUCCUGCUACUAUCUUUCUCCCUACCAAUAAUGUGAAAUACUUGUGUGUUUAAAUGUUCAUAAUUUAAUUUAAACAUUUAGAAGUGCAUAUUUAGCAUCAUAUGGAAAUGGAAGUAUAUAUAUUUUUCAAAUGCUUAUAUACCUGCAAGUAAAGGAAAAACAGGAAGCUCUAGAGGCUUUUCAGGUGCACCAACCAUUACAAGCUUUCCAUGAGACUUGAGUAAACCAAUCAGAGGUAAUAGCGGAUGAUCCGCUGAAACUGUGUCGAUAAUACCAUCCAAAGUAGCCGUUGCAGCCUACAAAUUAUUCUAGAUUGAUUAGUUCACUAAUUGUCAACUUCUAAAUCGGCAGCUGAAAAAUUUUGUGACUGAUUAAUAGAGACCAACUUGAGAAACUUCACAAAUCUAAUAGUCGCUAAUGUUAACAAUCAUUUUAAUUUAGUGAUCGAUUUGACAUUUUUAUAGUGAAUUAAAUGAUUUAUUGUACCUUCAUCUGCUUUGGAUCACGGCUUAUUAGAAAUGAGUCCGCUCGUAAGUGUUCUAAUGCUUCCUUUUCCUUUUUAGGUGAUGUACUAAUUACGGUCACAUUAGCACCGAAAGCUUUGGCGAAUUUCACGGCCAUAUGGCCAAGUCCACCAAGACCAACAACACCUAUAUUCAUAUCAGGCUUGUCGAGUCCAAAAUGUCGAAGAGGACUAUAU